GACGAACGCUGGCGGCGUGCUUAACACAUGCAAGUCGAACGGAAAGGCCCUGCUUUUGUGGGGUGCUCGAGUGGCGAACGGGUGAGUAACACGUGAGUAACCUGCCCUUGACUUUGGGAUAACUUCAGGAAACUGGGGCUAAUACCGGAUAGGAGCUCCUGCUGCAUGGUGGGGGUUGGAAAGUUUCGGCGGUUGGGGAUGGACUCGCGGCUUAUCAGCUUGUUGGUGGGGUAGUGGCUUACCAAGGCUUUGACGGGUAGCCGGCCUGAGAGGGUGACCGGCCACAUUGGGACUGAGAUACGGCCCAGACUCCUACGGGAGGCAGCAGUGGGGAAUAUUGCACAAUGGGCGGAAGCCUGAUGCAGCAACGCCGCGUGCGGGAUGACGGCCUUCGGGUUGUAAACCGCUUUCGCCUGUGACGAAGCGUGAGUGACGGUAAUGGGUAAAGAAGCACCGGCUAACUACGUGCCAGCAGCCGCGGUGAUACGUAGGGUGCGAGCGUUGUCCGGAUUUAUUGGGCGUAAAGGGCUCGUAGGUGGUUGAUCGCGUCGGAAGUGUAAUCUUGGGGCUUAACCCUGAGCGUGCUUUCGAUACGGGUUGACUUGAGGAAGGUAGGGGAGAAUGGAAUUCCUGGUGGAGCGGUGGAAUGCGCAGAUAUCAGGAGGAACACCAGUGGCGAAGGCGGUUCUCUGGGCCUUUCCUGACGCUGAGGAGCGAAAGCGUGGGGAGCGAACAGGCUUAGAUACCCUGGUAGUCCACGCUGUAAACGGUGGGUACUAGGUGUGGGGUCCAUUCCACGGGUUCCGUGCCGUAGCUAACGCUUUAAGUACCCCGCCUGGGGAGUACGGCCGCAAGGCUAAAACUCAAAGGAAUUGACGGGGCCCCGCACAAGCGGCGGAGCAUGCGGAUUAAUUCGAUGCAACGCGUAAAACCUUACCUGGGUUUGACAUGGAUCGGGAGUGCUCAGAGAUGGGUGUGCCUCUUUUGGGGUCGGUUCACAGGUGGUGCAUGGCUGUCGUCAGCUCGUGUCGUGAGAUGUUGGGUUAAGUCCCGCAACGAGCGCAACCCUUGUUCACUGUUGCCAGCACGUUAUGGUGGGGACUCAGUGGAGACCGCCGGGGUCAACUCGGAGGAAGGUGGGGAUGACGUCAAGUCAUCAUGCCCCUUAUGUCCAGGGCUUCACGCAUGCUACAAUGGCUGGUACAGAGAGUGGCGAGCCUGUGAGGGUGAGCGAAUCUCGGAAAGCCGGUCUCAGUUCGGAUUGGGGUCUGCAACUCGACCUCAUGAAGUCGGAGUCGCUAGUAAUCGCAGAUCAGCAACGCUGCGGUGAAUACGUUCCCGGG
rnacentral:rRNA from 1 species